GAGCGGACCCGGACGACCUCUGCCUUCGUCAUUUCCUGCCGGCCUGUCGGUUUCCGGAUGAAACGAGGAGCCAGGCCUGGAGUAAAGUCAGUUGGAAGCCAUGUGCAAUUAGAUGAGGGCUGCAAACAAAACCCAGCAAGAUGAAGAAAAAAUUAUAUUCUCUGAAAGUCCAAUUACAUAUUCCUUUUAUUGGAACUGACAAUAUAAUUUGGGGGACAUCGGGCAUCAGCAAUCACUGAAUCUAAAUGACUCCACAGUUAGGGAAGUGCACACAUCACCCCACCGCUGUCCAGGAAUCAGAGGAGGAAGUGCCCUUGAAUGAAGCAUGGGCCACAAACCUGGUUAGCAGCCAGGGUGGACACACACUUUGCAGGCAUCUUACCUUGGAAACAGAGUACGAUUGGCUUCUUUGUCAUCUUUGAAUAUGAGAGAUAAUCCUAGUUUCAGCAUGUCCUCAAUAGAGACCAACAGACCAACUUUAUUUCUUCAAGAAGCCUUCCAAAGCCUGUUGGAGUGGCAGCCAUUUCCAGAAGUAAAUUAUGUGUCAGAUGCCUGUGAGUGGACUGAAUGGCCCAGUGACUCAUUAAAAUAUUUGUGGAAGAAUAUGGUAAAAAAACUGAAGAAUUACAUUUCAAGAAGCAACUCCAAUACCAUUUAGGAUUUUUGAGCAGCUGAAAGAAGAUAGUUCUGAAAAUAGGAAUGACAAGAUUCUAGCACAUUUCUUUAUGUGUGUCUUACAUUAUCUUUGUUAACACUUUUUGUGUAUUAUUUUCCAUUAGGUAAUAGCUGGUAAUUUGCUUAUGAUCAGAGAUUUGUUUUUGUUUUUGUUUUUUUUCCUGUGUAGAUAGAGAAAUGACAUUAGGGGAAAUAGGAACCAUUUGGUGGAAUUUAGGCCCUUCUGAAAUUGACUUUUAUCAAAUAGUCACUAAAGGGUGUGAAGUGUGGAUAAAUUGUUUCUUUAUAUAAUGAUGUGCUGCUUCUUGUUCAUAUUCAUUAUGACUUUAGUUUCAUCUUUUUUUAUCUUCUCCGAGCCUUUGUAGAUGCCUGUUUUUUUCUUGAAAAAGUUUUUGGCACAGAUGGUCUGAUUAUCAUAUUUUUUUUUUCAGUUUAAAAAUAAGAAUUACAUCUUCAUAUGUAAACCUUUGGUUGCUAUUCUACCCCAAUUAUUUUUCAGGUUCAAGAAUAGAAUAAUUUCCAUUCUUUUCAGCUUUGCUCUUUUCUAUUUUUAUGUUCUCAUUCAGUGUUUUGUUGUUGCUCUUAUUUUCUAAAUGGAAAUGAAAGGUGAUUUCUGUUUUGCAGUAUCUGUCUGGAAAACCAGAAUAAUGAGUGGUAAAAAUUUAAAGCAAGUGAAAUAUUUUAACCCUUGUAUUAAAUUUCCAUCAAACUUCU